UCAUCUGAAUAGCCAGAUAGCUGACAGCAAGUUUGUUUGGGAAUGAGAGAGUUCAGGGCAACAGUUCUUGACCUUGGCUGCAUAUUAAAACCACCCAGGGAGCUAGAAAAACUAUCGCUGUCUGGUCCUACUUCUAGAGAGAGUCUGAUUCUCCAGAGAGCCUUCAGCAGAAAAUAACUGAAACGUACAAACCCCACCAGUCUCCACAGGUGAACCUCAAGGUUUGCUUGCUUUGAUGAGAAGCCCAUGUGGCAUGGAGCAGAGGUCGUCCUCCAAUCAAUAGCCAGUGAGGAACGGAGGACCCUCAGUCCAACAACCCACAAUGAACUGACUACAGCCAACAAUUGCCUACUUCUUCAGCUGAGCCUUUAGAUGACCCCAGCCCCAGCUGACACUCUCUAUCCUUGUGAGAAACCCUGAAGCUCUGAGAAUCCAGCUCAUCUGUGCCCAGACCCCUGACCCAGAGAUACUGAAAGAAUAAAUGCGUAUUGUUUUCUU